CAGUAGCCGCGGUAAUACGAGGGGUGCAAGCGUUAUUCGGAUUGAUUGGGUGUAAAGGGUGUGCAGACGGCUUAUUAAGUCACUUGUUAAAUUCUUCGGCCUAACUGAAGGUCUGCAAGCGAUACUGAUGAGCUAGAGGGUGGAAGAGAGAAGUGGAAUUCUCGGAGUAGCGGUAAAAUGCGUAGAUCUCGAGAGGAACACCAAUGGCGAAGGCAGCUUCUUGGUCCAUUCCUGACGCUCAUACACGAAAGCGUGGGGAGCAAACAGGAUUAGAUACCCCCGUAGUCCCUGUCUCUUAUAC
rnacentral:rRNA from 1 species